GACGAACGCUGGCGGCGUGCUUAACACAUGCAAGUCGAGCGGUAAGGCCCUUUCGGGGGUACACGAGCGGCGAACGGGUGAGUAACACGUGGGUGACCUGCCCUCAGCUCUGGGAUAAGCCUGGGAAACUGGGUCUAAUACUGGAUAUGACUCCAUGACGCAUGUUGUGGGGUGGAAAGCCUUGUGCGGCUGAGGAUGGGCCCGCGGCCUAUCAGCUUGUUGGUGGGGUGAUGGCCUACCAAGGCGACGACGGGUAGCCGGCCUGAGAGGGCGACCGGCCACACUGGGACUGAGACACGGCCCAGACUCCUACGGGAGGCAGCAGUGGGGAAUCUUGCGCAAUGGGCGAAAGCCUGACGCAGCGACGCCGCGUGAGGGAUGACGGCCUGGUGUAAC
rnacentral:rRNA from 1 species